ensembl:snRNA U6 U6 spliceosomal RNA
GUUCUCUGUGGCAGCAUGUAUCCUAAAAUCGGAACAAUACAGGGAAGCUUAGCAUGGCCCCUGCACAAGGAUGCACGUAAAUGGCAAAAGGAACAUUGUAGACGU